rnacentral:lncRNA from 1 species
CAGAGGGGAGGUCAGCCCAUGGGGGACAAUCCAGAGAGCACAGAAUAAGGGCCAACAUGGGGAGGAGAGCCUGUGGCUCCUUAGGAGCUCACAGCUCCUUUGUUCGCUGCACGUCCUCACCAGCUGAGGAGGCGUCUGGUGGGAGUAGAGGGAAGACCGUGGCCUCGUGUGUGUCCUCACCAGCUGGGGAGGCUAGAGGGAAGACCGUGGCCUCGUGUGGGUCCUCACCAGCUGGGGAAGCGUCUGGUGGGAGUAGAGGGAAGAACGUCAGCCUCAUGGGUGGCGGCCUGGCUCUGCAGUCUCCGCCGUCGCUCAGGCAGCGUUCAGUUCAGGAUGGGCCAACAGUCGGGAAACCGUUUGGGGCUGUGAAGCUGAAAUGAGGAGGUCACCUGGGAGGCAGCCACCAGCGACCAGGACUCCUCGGGAGCAGAGGGAGCCACGGAGUGACCUGCAGCUCCCCAAGAUGACCCCGCAGAGCCCCAGACCCGUGUCCAACCUCGGCGUAGGCUCCCUCUGACUCGAAGAAGUGGGGUGGGCGUUCCUUGGACCAUGUGCUCACUCGCCCAUUCCCAUCGGCCGCUCUGUGUCCUCGGCACAGCGAUGCCAUGGGGCAGGUGGCCCCAGCUGCUCAUUGUGGUCCGGGUGCCAUUUGCAGGAUAUGAGGAGCCGAGUAGGUCACACAUACUUCCGCUCUG